GGUCUUGACAUCCUCUGACAACCCUAGAGAUAGGGCUUUCCCCUUCGGGGGACAGAGUGACAGGUGGUGCAUGGUUGUCGUCAGCUCGUGUCGUGAGAUGUUGGGUUAAGUCCCGCAACGAGCGCAACCCUUGAUCUUAGUUGCCAGCAUUCAGUUGGGCACUCUAAGAUGACUGCCGGUGACAAACCGGAGGAAGGUGGGGAUGACGUCAAAUCAUCAUGCCCCUUAUGACCUGGGCUACACACGUGCUACAAUGGACGGUACAAAGGGCAGCGAGACCGCGAGGUUUAGCCAAUCCCAUAAAACCGUUCUCAGUUCGGAUUGUAGGCUGCAACUCGCCUACAUGAAGCUGGAAUCGCUAGUAAUCGCGGAUCAGCAUGCCGCGGUGAAUACGUUCCCGGGCCUUGUACACACCGCCCGUCACACCACGAGAGUUUGUAACACCCGAAG
rnacentral:rRNA from 2 species